rnacentral:lncRNA from 1 species
CCAGCUCUCAGUGUCCUUCAGUGUCCUCUGGUCAUGGGGAAGGAAGUGCUGGUCCUGCUCCUGGAGAAAGGAUCCAUCUUCUCUGCCCUGUCCCCAGGUGCCAUCCAAGUGCUGUCCCCUCUGUUGUUCCCCCAGGAUGUGACACAGCUGCACAUCUGGAACCAAAGGUGAGUAGCACAGUGUUCCCAGUGUUUCUUUCUGACCUGCAAGAUAAAAUCCUUAGACAUUUUACUGUUUCACCAUUAUCAUUCUUCUGUUUUAUGAGAAAUCUUUAUUCGAUUUUUUUUUAAAAUAUUCUUUUACGCAUAGAUGGAAAAAAACCUUUUAUUACUUUACUGCUUGAGAUUAGGAUCAGUCUUCAAGAAAUUGGUGCUCACUUUAUGACCUGUGUCUGAUUUAUCUGCCCCGUUUUAGAAGAGCACAGUUCACUUGGACUCCUCAAAGCUCAGGGAUGUGUGGUUGGAACCUAUACAUGGGAUCACAGAAUCAGUGUCCCUUAUACAGCACAUAAAGGAUCUUAUAUUUUAUAUAUAUAUAUAAAUAAUCUCUCUAUAAAGCAUCUCUUGAGGGGAUGCUCAGGUCAAGAAGCUGAACUGACCUGGUACAACCAAUCCAACCAAAGCUGAGUGAUCCCACCCAUCCCAACCCCUCUGCCUUCUCCCCCACCCAGCUGGAGGUGAUCCAUGCACUUCCCUUUCCAGUGGAGCUGGAUAUGGACACACAAACCCAUUAAAAAUAUCCUUAUUUCUAACAGUGUGUGAUGCAUCUGUGCCCCCAGGCCUUUGUGAGGCAACGAGCAAGGUCACAAUUGACGUGCUGGAACUUCCAAUGUUGGAGCAAGGAAGGAGCAGAUCCUGCCCCAGGAGCAGCCAGCCAUGGCCACGCUGCAGGAGCUGCAAGUGCUCUGCAUUUCUUCUCACAGCAAAUACCUCAGAUGCUUCAAAUUCCCAGGCCUCCAGGCCCUGGAAAUGCUGUCUCCUGCAGUUUUCCAUAUAAACAUCACCCCCAAUUUCAGACCAAUUUGGCUGAAGGAGCAUGUUUGACAGAAAGGUGCAGCUGUAAUCUCUCAGGCCUGGCUGGGGAUGCCAAAUAAAUCUAUACCUUCUUGACAAUUAUAUCUUCACAAAAGCUUUGGAAAGAACAGCCAAGAAAGCUUGUCAAUAAGUUCCCUUUUUAUUAGAGGGAAGUCCUUUGGAAAGCCCAGGGAGGCAGCAAUUCCUGACGGAUCUCUGGAGGUGCUGCUGUGAGAGGCCAGUUAGAAACAGCUUUUUAUUGACAAACUUGGAUUUGGGAGGAAAUUUUUCCUAACAAAGUCUCGGCUCGAGUCAUUUCACGGCAUGUCCAUGAAAGCAGAUAGGAAGUAAAUAUAAUUUUUCCUUGAGCCAAGUAAAUUGGCUUAAAUGCUUGUGCUGAUGGCACAGGAACACUGCACCAAUGGAUAAUGAACCAGCGACUGGGAGAGGGAACAGGGCUCAGGAACAGCUCCUGGGAGGGAUGCUACAAGGCAAGAGGGAAGUUAUUUCCAAAGCCAGAUCUGAGAUUCAUUAGUGUUACGUGGGAUCCGGUUCCACAGGAGAGCUGAGGGUCCAAUUUUCCUGCUGUUCUGUGGCCGUGGCCCCCCCAGCCGGGCUGUGGGGAAGGACAAAUGGAGCUUAAUUCUCUUUGCUAUUUAGGACGUCUAUAUAUAAACCCAGGAAUAUGGGUUGUGACCCUUGGGGGGACCUUGGGCCGCUCCUCCUCCCCUUGCCCUACUUCUGGUAAUUAUGUUUUCUGAGUAGGUGCUUAUUCAUGGAACUCCUCUAAGAGAGAAUGUCUGUAAAUUCUGGAAAAUGUGUUUUCUUCAAGCAUUUUUCAGCCUGAGCAGGCAGCUAUUACCUGCCAGCAGCAUAAAAGUGCAGUUCCAGUGUGUCAAAUGCUUUCGAAUUUCCAGGCUUUGAUCAGGACCCUGUUUGGGCUGCAGUUUUCUCAUCGUCCUCUCGGGAGUUUCCUACGUGGCAUUUUUUGAUUAUUCUCAGCCCCAGUGAAGUUCUUCAUGAUCUUAAAGCAACUUAGCAGGGAUUGAGCUGCAGUAACAGGGAGGGAGUUCACCUGUG